GGAUUCCUAGUCCGUCCCCCG
rnacentral:sRNA from 1 species